AAAACAGAGUAGCGCGCACUGUGCCGAAAGCAAGUCUGGAAAUACAAUAAAGCGGUGCAUGCUCAAUCUCUGAUUGAAAGCGCUUGUAACAGGGCAGCCCUUAGCGGCUGGAAACACAGUGAGAGGGACGAAGGCAAGUGCAGUGGAACAAAAGUAUUUAUUUGCCAUACAGCUCUCCUUACAACAAUUCACUUGUUGAGCUUCUUCACAGCACAAUAUAUCCUCCUCUAAUGACAACCAGCAGCCUUAAAUAUGUUCAGCUGUCACAGACCAAACCAUUAUUCCACUCUUAGGUAAAUUCUUAAAUCCCAACCUUCCACCACAGUAUAUAAUAUAUCAAUUAGAAUAAAUAAAUACAUAAAUACAUUUCACAUUGUCAUAUUAAUAAAUAUUUCACACUUUAAUGUUACACCAAACCCAAUAUUAUAAAAACCCAGAAACCAAAGCACAAAAAGAUUCACCACACUCUCUUUACCCAUGGUCUCUCCCGGAACCUUUAAAUGGUGUCUGGACCCCCGGGAAACAUUUGCCCAAACACCUUGAAGAGGACACAGGCAAGAAAGACAACCACCACAUUCCUUGAUGAGGAGCAGCUGUGCAGGAUCUGAAUCAAGGCUACCAACUGAUUUUAAAAUUCCCAAUAAAUAAUCAAUAAAUAUUUAAA